UACGAAGGGGGCUAGCGUUAUUCGGAAUUACUGGGCGUAAAGCGUGCGCAGGCGGUUUUGUAAGUCUGUCGUGAAAUCCCCGGGCUCAACCUGGGAAUUGCGAUGGAGACUGCAAGGCUAGAAUCUGGCAGAGGGGGGUAGAAUUCCACGUGUAGCAGUGAAAUGCGUAGAGAUGUGGAGGAACACCGAUGGCGAAGGCAGCCCCCUGGGUCAAGAUUGACGCUCAUGCACGAAAGCGUGGGGAGCAAACAGG
rnacentral:rRNA from 1 species